rnacentral:rRNA from 1 species
AGUCGAGCGCUUCCUUCGGUGAGGAGCGGCAGACGGGUGAGUAACGCGUGGGAACAUACCUAAUAGUACGGAAUAACAGUUGGAAACGACUGCUAAUACCGUAUACGCCCUUAGGGGGAAAGAUUUAUCGCUAUUAGAUUGGCCCGCGUUGGAUUAGCUAGUUGGUGAGGUAACUGCUCACCAAGGCGACGAUCUAUAGCUGGUCUGAGAGGAUGAUCAGCCACACUGGGACUGAGACACGGCCCAGACUCCUACGGGAGGCAGCAGUGGGGAAUAUUGGACAAUGGGCGCAAGCCUGAUCCAGCCAUGCCGCGUGAGUGAUGAAGGCCUUAGGGUUGUAAAGCUCUUUCGCUAGGGAAGAUAAUGACGGUACCUAGUAAAGAAGCCCCGGCUAACUUCGUGCCAGCAGCCGCGGUAAUACGAAGGGGGCUAACGUUGUUCGGAUUUACUGGGCGUAAAGCGUACGUAGGCGGAUUAGAAAGUAAGGGGUGAAAUCCCGAGGCUCAACCUCGGAACUGCCUCUUAAACUUCUAGUCUAGAGAUCGGGAGAGGUGUAUGGAACUCCUAGUGCAGAGGUGGAAUUCGUAGAUAUUGGGAGGAACACCAGAGGCGAAGGCGGCCACCUGGACUAGAUCUGACGCUCAGGUGCGAAAGCGUGGGGAGCAAACAGGAAUUAGAUACCCUGGUAAUCCACGCCCGUAAACGAAUGAAUGGCUAUUUGUCGGGAUUUUCCAUUUCGGGUGACGCCAGCUAACGCAUU